GACGAACGCUGGCGGCGUGCUUAACACAUGCAAGUCAGGGGUGGGGCGAACCCAUCACCGGCGAACGGGUGCGUAACACGUGAGCGACCUGCCCUGGUGUGGGGGAGUAGCCGGCCCAACGGCCGGGUAAUACCGCAUACGACUUUCUGGAGGCAUCUCCGGGGAGGUGAAGCCAUUUGGGUCGACCAGGAGGGGCGUCGCGGCCUAUCAGCUAGUUGGCGAGGUAACGGCUCACCAAGGCGACGACGGGUA
rnacentral:rRNA from 1 species